rnacentral:tRNA from 1 species
GAAACUUGAAAAUUAAGCUUCUAACUUAAUAAUAAAGCGACUUAUAUGCGUUUAUGUUUCU